GGCUCGAUGGUGAAACGGACAUCAUCUCUGGCGUCUAACCAGAAGCUUUUGGUGCGAGGUUCGAUUCCUCGUCGGGCUA
rnacentral:tRNA from 1 species